UACGUAGGUGGCAAGCGUUGUCCGGAUUUAUUGGGUUUAAAGGGUGCGUAGGCGGUUCUGUAAGUCAGUGGUGAAAUACUCCAGCUUAACUGGAGGGGUGCCAAUGAUACUGCAGAACUUGAGUACAGAUGAGGUAGGCGGAAUUGACGGCGUAGCGGUGAAAUGCAUAGAUAUCGUCAAGAACACCUAUAGCGAAGGCAGCUUACUGGGCUGUAACUGACGCUGAGGCACGAAAGUGUGGGGAUCAAACAGG
rnacentral:rRNA from 1 species